rnacentral:rRNA from 1 species
UACGAAGGGGGCUAGCGUUGCUCGGAAUCACUGGGCGUAAAGGGUGCGUAGGCGGGUUUUUAAGCAGGGGUGAAAUCCUGGAGCUCAACUCCAGAACUGCCUUUGAUACUGAAGAUCUUGAGUUCGGGAGAGGUGAGUGGAGCUGCGAGUGUAGAGGUGAAAUUCGUAGAUAUUCGCAAGAACACCAGUGGCGAAGGCGGCUCACUGGCCCGAUACUGACGCUGAGGCACGAAAGCGUGGGGAGCAAACAGG